rnacentral:rRNA from 1 species
GACGAACGCUGGCGGCGUGCUUAACACAUGCAAGUCGAACGGAAAGGCCCUGCUUUUGUGGGGUGCUCGACUGGCGAACGCGUGUGUAACACGCGAGUACCCUGUCCUUGGCUCUGGGAUAUCUUCAUGAAACAGGGGCUCUUACAGCAUAUGAGCUCCUGCUGCACGGUGGGGGUUGGAGAGUUUCGGCGGUUGGGGAUGGGCUCGCGGCUUAUCAGCUUGUUGGUGAGGUAGUGGCUUACCAAGGCUUUGACGGGUAGCCGGCCUGAGAGGGUGACCGGCCACACUGGGACUGAGAUACGGCCCAGACUCCUACGGGAGGCAGCAGUGGGGAAUAUUGCACAAUGGGCGGAAGCCUGAUGCAGCAACGCCGCGUGCGGGAUGACGGCCUUCGGGUUGUAAACCGCUUUUGGCUGGGAAGAAGCGAGAGUGACGGUAACUGGUGAAAAAGCACCGGCUAACUACGUG